GAUUGAGAGUCCAGGUUUCACUUUUGCCAAAAUUUGAUUCUCUUUAAUUUUUCAGUUCAGGAUUUGGAUGGAUCAACUCUGUAGUUGCCGAAGCAACAUGCUGGAGAGACGACUUCAGCUUUCGAACACGGAGUAGCUUGUUAAGAAGAGCAAGUGCUAUUGUUUUGCUAAUAUAUAGAGAGUGUACACUCCAUUCAUCAUUUAAAGCAGCGGGAUAGUUCUGGCUUCUACUUAGAGCAUGAACCUACAUCCUUGCUUGGAUCUACCGGGAUUAAAGACUUUCAGAGCAUUUGCAGUUAUAGCCUUAUAGGUGCUGAAGUCCUUGGGCUCUGUAACUUUGCAAACAUUGCUUAUACUGGAUAGGAUUCAUCAAGGUCACCAAGAGUGUGGAUAUUGCCACUUAAAGUCGCUAAUUUCUGUUGUGAUCUUGUUGAAAUGGCAUAUACAUUAGGGAAUUGAAGAAGAAACUAAGGCCAUGGUGGCAGAAAUUGAGGAUGAGGCUAAUGAUGAAGGUUAGAUGUUCACUCAACCCAGAAAACUGAGUGAUCGAGUUCCACAGCCUUCUGCUAAUGAAGCAGCUGCCGGCUUUGAUAAUGGAUGUCUUAUGACUUAGGUACAUGUAAGAUAUGACAACGAAGACUAAAUGAUUUAAACCUUCUAAUUUCUUUUGCUAUAUGGAGAAAGGAACAUGUCUGCUAUAGU